CGCGUAGGCGGCUUUGCAAGUCAGAUGUGAAAGCCCCGGGCUUAACUCGGGAAUUGCAUCUGAAACUGCUUAGCUUGAGUCCUGGAGGGGGUAGUGGAAUUCCCAGUGUAGCGGUGAAAUGCGUAGAUAUUGGGAGGAACACCUGCGGCGAAGGCGGCUACCUGGACAGUGACUGACGCUGAUGCGCGAAAGCUAGGGGAGCGAACG
rnacentral:rRNA from 1 species